GGUUAAGCGACUAAGCGUACACGGUGGAUGCCCUGGCAGUCAGAGGCGAUGAAGGGCGUGCUAAUCUGCGAUAAGCGCCGGUAAGGUGAUAUGAACCGUUAUAACCGGCGAUACCCGAAUGGGGAAACCCAGUGUGACUCGUCACACUAUCAUUAACUGAAUCCAUAGGUUAAUGAGGCGAACCGGGGGAACUGAAACAUCUAAGUACCCCGAGGAAAAGAAAUCAACCGAGAUUCCCCCAGUAGCGGCGAGCGAACGGGGAGGAGCCCAGAGCCUGAAUCAGCAUGUGUGUUAGUGGAAGCGUCUGGAAAGGCGCGCGAUACAGGGUGACA
rnacentral:rRNA from 6 species